rnacentral:rRNA from 1 species
GACGAACGCUGGCGGCGUGCUUAACACAUGCAAGUCGAACGGAAAGGCCCUGCUUGCAGGGUACUCGAGUGGCGAACGGGUGAGUAACACGUGGGUGAUCUGCCCUGCACUUCGGGAUAAGCCUGGGAAACUGGGUCUAAUACCGGAUAGGAGCCAUUUUUAGUGUGAUGGUUGGAAAGUUUUUUCGGUGUAGGAUGAGCUCGCGGCCUAUUAGCUUGUUGGUGGGGUAAUGGCCUACCAAGGCGGCGACGGGUAGCCGGCCUGAGAGGGUGGACGGCCACAUUGGGACUGAGAUACGGGCCAGGCUCCUACGGGGGGCAGCAGUGGGGAAUAUUGCGCAAUGGGCGCAAGCCUGAUGCAGCGACGCCGCGUGGGGGAUGACGGCCUUCGGGUUGUAAACUCCUUUCGCUAGGGACGAAGCUUUUUGUGACGGUACCUAGAUAAGAAGCACCGGCUAACUACGUG